rnacentral:tRNA from 3 species
GGGGCGGUAGCUCAGCUGGUCAGAGCAGGAGACUCAUAAUCUCCCGGUCGCGGGUUCGAGUCCCGCCCGCCCUAC